UUUACCAAAAACAUAGCCUUUAGACUACCCAACAUUAAAGGUACCGCCUGCCCAGUGAGGGUAUACCCUUAAACGGCCGCGUAUAAAAGCGUGCAAAGGUAGCAAAAUCAUUUGUCCUCUAAAUAAGGACCCGUAUGAAAGGCAACAUGAGAAAGAAACUGUCUCUUAAGGUCGACCAAUGAACCUGAUCUGCCUGUACAAAAACAGGCAUGUAAAAACAAGACAAAAAGACCCUGUGAAACUUCAAAUGUCUAUCAACAAAAUGAUAAAAACAUUUUCGGUUGGGGCAACCAAAGAGAAACACAAACCUCACCAACAGUUACUAGGCAAACAAGCCAACUAACAUAAAAUUAGACCCAGUACCACUGAUUAAAGGACAAAGCUACUCCAGGGAUAACAGCGCCACAUUCUUGAAGAGUCCAUAUCAACAAGAAUACCUACGACCUCGAUGUUGGAUUAGGGUAUCCUGAUGGCGCAAAAGCUAUCAACGGUUCGUUUGUUCAACGAUUAAAACCCUACAUGAUCUGAGUUCAGACCGGAG
rnacentral:rRNA from 1 species